rnacentral:rRNA from 1 species
UAGGACGUGAAACCGUACAGAGAAUAAACGUGCGAGUUAGAACGUUGGCUCAGAUUCAGCAAUACAUCGUAUUGUGCAUUUCUGUGCCGUGGCCAUCGGGGAGUGGCGUUCCCUGACGUGUCGAGUGGCGGGCUGCUUCUGCAGAACACCUCGAUGCCGAGAGUACAAAAUUCCUUAAGGAUGCCGAUUUCGUGACAGGGCUGUGAUGGUGGUUUCCGAACGGGAGGUGCUUGCACUGACCGGUCGGUGCUGCCAGCACUGUCCACGCGAUGGUGUAUCAGGAUGGCCAGAGUUUGACCUUGCACGACCCGUCUUGAAACACGGACCAAGGAGUCUAAAUUGUGCGCGAGCCAUUGGAUUUUAUCUCCAUAGGCGAAACGAAUGUGAUAAGGUUGGAUCAUACUUAUGCGUACAUCAUACGUGUGCUUUGUUCGCAUUGCGCUCAGUCUGAGUGCACAGAUUAGUACCCGAAAGAUGGUGAACUAUGCUUGAGCAGGACGAAGCUAGAGGAAACUCUGGUGGAAGUCCGAAGCGGUUCUGACGUGCAAAUCGAUCGUCAGACUUGAGUAUAGGGGCGAAAGACUAAUCGAACCAUC